ensembl:miRNA
AACUACACUUUAAGGGGACCAAAGAUACGUAUAGAUAUCAGAUCCCCAUAUACCUGUUCGGUCUCUUUAAAGUGUAGUU